rnacentral:rRNA from 1 species
UACGUAGGGACCAAGCGUUGUUCGGAUUUACUGGGCGUAAAGGGCGCGUAGGCGGUUUGUCACGUCGGAUGUGAAAGCCCGGGGCUUAACUCCGGGUCUGCAUUCGAUACGGGCAGACUAGAGUGUGGUAGGGGAGAUCGGAAUUCCUGGUGUAGCGGUGAAAUGCGCAGAUAUCAGGAGGAACACCGGUGGCGAAGGCGGAUCUCUGGGCCAUUACUGACGCUGAGGAGCGAAAGCGUGGGGAGCGAACAGG